rnacentral:lncRNA from 1 species
CCAACUUAGGUGGGCGCUGAUAAUCUCGUCCGCGUUUGUAGUCUUCGGCCCCUUUUCUCUUGUUCAAUGUUUUAUUCGAUAGUUUUCUUGGCUAGAACACACCUAGUGGGAGGCCCUGAAUAUUGAACAUCGAAGCACAAAGUCACGAAGUAUAUGGUUCAUGGGGUUUGCAGAAUCAUUCGCUCGCAUGUGAGUAUAAGUUCUACUUCAUACGGUAGUUUUAUGGAAUAUCUUGAUCUAAUCUGAGACAAUAAGGAGGGUCUUUCGUAAUUUAAUUUCAUCUCUUUCAGGAGGCCUCGAGGAUUACGACGAGUUCCACAAUCCACGAACUAAGCGGGACAUGAAUAAGGUUGUCUUUGGUGGUGAUGCUGGAGCGGAAGUGGCUGAUAUGCGUCAUUCAUAUUUUUUCCUGUCUAUGCGGUUGCGUUGGUGAUCAUCUCGAGCUUAUCCGGUCUUUCGGUAUAUACAUAUAUGCGCUUGCUUGUGUGGGGUUCAGCGAAUUUAGGAUCCAUUGGUUGUGUUGUUCAGGAAAAUUCAAGUUACAUGAACGUUGAAUAUACCAACAGUUGUGAUCCAGUAUACUUUGCAUUGGUGUCAACUUGUAGGAUUAUUCUUUCCUAUGCACGCGAUCUGCUGUGAGAAUAUUGAUGAAUGCUACAAAGCGCUUGAGUUAAUUCUUUUGGGCCAUAGCUGAUUUCUUGCAGACAUGUGUAAGCGGAAACCUUCGAAUUUGUGAAAAUUACUCUGGUCUUGUACUUCUUUCACUUGCUCUUGGGAGAGUCCAUUACCAAAAUGAUAAUGAUUUGAUUUGAUUAUUACUCCAAUUCGGCUUUCACGCAAUCCGUGUGAUCAGGGACUUAGAUUGAUUCGUCCAUGUGGAGGCAGGAGAAGAAGAAUCGCCUGACAUGAGACUGGUUAAGCAAAGCGCAUAGGAACCAAAUGUACCUUCGCUGGGUUAGGAAUUAGGACCUCACGAGGUGGUUCAUCCAGCCCCUCUGAGACGGGACAAUACCAAUUGGAAGCUUGUUCAACCCUUCAACAUUCUUGCGACAUUUGGCAUCGUUCAAAAUGUGAAUUCUUUUACAGGAUAUGAAUGCUCUAGGUCUUCUAGAAGUGUUCACGGAUUCCCACAAUCCACACUGAAUGCUCAGUGUCUACUUCGGUUUACCGAUGGGGGAUACCAUCUCUGCAUUUCAGCUCCUGUAACUUGGCGAUAUUAUCCAAUUCCUACCAUUGGUCUUGCUUCUUCAGCAACGGAUUUCUUCCAGACCCCACCCAUGAAAUAUCAUAAUAUUGUCUACUUGAAGACAGUUA